AUGAGAACGCAUGUUCACAUGAUUAAAGGGAUUCCGGUAGACGAUGGGGAUGCGUUCCAUUACAUACAUAGGCGGGGUAACGGCCCACCUAUUCUUCCAUGCAUAGGGGUUCUGAGAGGAAGGUCCCCCACAUUGGUACUGAGACGCGAUCAAAACUUAUACGGGAGGCAGCAGUGAGGAAUAUUGGUCAAUGGGCGAGAGCCUGAACCACCCAAGUAGCGUGAAGGAUGACUGCCCUAUGGGUUGUAAACUUCUUUUAUAAAGGAAUAAAGUCGGGUAUGGAUACCCGUUUGCAUGUACUUUAUGAAUAAGGAUCGGCUAACUCCGUGCCAGCAGCCGCGGUAAUACGGAGGAUCCGAGCGUUAUCCGGAUUUAUUGGGUUUAAAGGGAGCGUAGAUGGAUGUUU
rnacentral:rRNA from 1 species